rnacentral:rRNA from 1 species
AGAGUUUGAUCCUGGCUCAGAAUGAACGCUGGCGGCGUGCUUAACACAUGCAAGUCGAACGAGAAAGGGAUUGCUUGCAAUCCCGAGUAGAGUGGCGUACGGGUGAGUAACACGUAGAUAAUCUGCCUUCAAGCCUGGGAUAACUAUUCGAAAGGGUAGCUAAUACCGGAUAAAGUCGAUCUACACAAGUAGAUUGAUGAAAGAUUGCCUCUUCUUGAAAGCAAUUGUUUGGAGAUGAGUUUGCGUACCAUUAGCUUGUUGGUGGGGUAAAGGCCUACCAAGGCAACGAUGGUUAGCUGGUCUGAGAGGAUGAUCAGCCACACUGGAACUGGAACACGGUCCAGACUCCUACGGGAGGCAGCAGUGAGGAAUUUUGCGCAAUGGGGGUAACCCUGACGCAGCAACGCCGCGUGAGUGAAGAAGGCCUUUGGGUCGUAAAGCUCUGUCAACAGGGAAGAAGUUACAAUUGUUUAAUAGAUGGUUGUAUUGACGGUACCUGUGGAGGAAGCGCCGGCUAACUCCGUGCCAGCAGCCGCGGUAAUACGGGGGGCGCAAGCGUUAUUCGGAAUUAUUGGGCGUAAAGGGCGCGCAGGCGGUCUUGUCCGUCAGGUGUGAAAGCUCGGGGCUCAACCCCGGAAGUGCACUUGAAACAGCAAGACUUGAAUACGGGAGAGGAAAGCGGAAUUCCUGGUGUAGAGGUGAAAUUUGUAGAUAUCAGGAGGAAUACCGAUGGCGAAGGCAGCUUUCUGGACCGAUAUUGACGCUGAGGCGCGAAGGCGUGGGUAGCAAACGGGAUUAGAUACCCCGGUAGUCCACGCAGUAAACGUUGUACACUCGGUGUAGCGGGUAUUAAAACCUGCUGUGCCCAAGCUAACGCAUUAAGUGUACCGCCUGGGAAGUACGGUCGCAAGACUAAAACUUAAAUGAAUUGACGG